rnacentral:rRNA from 1 species
GACGAACGCUGGCGGCGUGCCUAAUACAUGCAAGUAGAACGCACAGUUUAUACCGUGGCUUGCUGCAUCAUAGACUGUGAGUUGCGACCGGGUGAGUAACGCGUAGGUAACCUGCCUGGUAGCGGGGGAUAACUAUUGGCAACGAUAGCUAUUACCGCAUAAUCUUAAUUCUUGCAUGAUAAUUAAUUGAAAGGUGCAAUUGCACCAAUACCAGAUGGACCUGCGUUGUAUUAGCUAGUAGGAGAGGUAACGGCUCACCUAGGCGAAGAUACAAAGCCUACCUGGGAAGGUGGACGACCACACUGGGAAUGAGACACGGCCCAGACUCCUUCGGGGAGGAGCAGUAGGGGAUCUUCGGCAAUGGACGGAAGUCUGGCCGAACAACGCCGCGGGAGAGAAGAAGGUUUUCGGGGCGUAAAGCUCUGUUGUUAGGGAAGGACAGGUGUGAGGGUGGAAAGUUCACACUGUGACGGUAUCUUAACAGAAAGGGACGGCUAACUACGUG